rnacentral:rRNA from 1 species
GACGAACGCUGGCGGCGUGCUUAACACAUGCCAGUCGAACGAAGUGGCGAACGGGUGAGUAAUAAGGGGGUAACCUGACCUCCUUUUUGGGAUAAGCCUUGGAACCGGGGUAUAGUACCGAAUAAAGGGGGAUGGGAUCGAGGCCUUGUAGCUUGUUGGUGGGGUGAUGGGCUACCACGGCGGUGACGGGUAGCCGGCCUGAGAGGGUGACCGGCCACAUUGGCACGGAGAUACGGCCUAGAGUCCUACGGGUGGCAGCAGUUGGGGCUAUUGCACAAUGGGCGAAAGCCUGAUGCAGCGACGCCGCGUGGGGGUUGAAGGCUGUCGGGUUGUAAACCUCUUUCGCUAGCGAACGGUUACGUGGAGAAGAAGCGCCGGCUAACUACGUGCCAGCAGCCGCGGUAAUUC